rnacentral:rRNA from 1 species
UACGAGAGGCCCAAACGUUAUUCGGAAUUACUGGGCGUAAAGGGCUCGUAGGCGGCCAACUAAGUCGGACGUGAAAUCCCCAGGCUCAACCUGGGAACUGCGUCCGAUACUGGAUGGCUUGAAUCCGGGAGAGGGAUGCAGAAUUCCAGGUGUAGCGGUGAAAUGCGUAGAUAUCAAGAGGAACACCUGAGGUGAAGACGGGUUGCUGGGCCGACACUGACGCUGAGGCGCGAAAGCCAGGGGAGCAAACGGG